rnacentral:rRNA from 1 species
UCCCCUGACGGUAUCUAACCAGAAAGCCACGGCUAACUACGUGCCAGCAGCCGCGGUAAUACGUAGGUGGCAAGCGUUGUCCGGAUUUAUUGGGCGUAAAGCGAGCGCAGGCGGUUUCUUAAGUCUGAUGUGAAAGCCCCCGGCUCAACCGGGGAGGGUCAUUGGAAACUGGGAGACUUGAGUGCAGAAGAGGAGAGUGGAAUUCCAUGUGUAGCGGUGAAAUGCGUAGAUAUAUGGAGGAACACCAGUGGCGAAGGCGG